rnacentral:rRNA from 1 species
GACGUAGGUGGCAAGCGUUGUCCGGAGUUAUUGGGCGUAAAGCGCGCGCAGGCGGUUCGGUAAGUCCAUGGUGAAAGCGCCCGGCUCAACUGGGCGAGUGCCGUGGGACUGCCGAGCUGGAGGGGAGCAGAGGCGAGUGGAAUUCCGGGUGUAGUGGUGAAAUGCGUAGAGAUCCGGAGGAACACCAGUGGCGAAGGCGGCUCGCUGGGCUCGUACCUGACGCUG